ensembl:snRNA U1 U1 spliceosomal RNA
AUACUUACCUGGCAGGGGAGAUACCAUGAUCACAUAGAUGGUUUUCCCAUGGCAAGUCUUAUCCAUUGCACUCUGGAUGUGCUGACACCUGUGAUUUCGCCAAAUGUGGGAAACUCAACUGCAUAAUUUGUGGUAGUGGGGGAUUUUGUUUGCGCUUUCCCCUG